GAUGAACGCUAGCGGCAGGCCUAACACAUGCAAGUCGAGGGGUAGAGGAAGCUUGCUUCCUUGAGACCGGCGCACGGGUGCGUAACGCGUAUGCAAUCUACCUUGUACUGAGGGAUAGCCCAGAGAAAUUUGGAUUAAUACCUCAUAGCAUUAUGAAAUCGCAUGGUUUUAUAAUUAAAGUUCCAACGGUACAAGAUGAGCAUGCGUCCCAUUAGUUAGUUGGUAAGGUAACGGCUUACCAAGACAAGGAUGGGUAGGGGUCCUGAGAGGGAGAUCCCCCACACUGGUACUGAGACACGGACCAGACUCCUACGGGAGGCAGCAGUGAGGAAUAUUGGUCAAUGGACGCAAGUCUGAACCAGCCAUGCCGCGUGCAGGAUGAAGCAUCUAUGGUGUGUAAACUGCUUUUAUACGGGAAGAAACACUCCUACGUGUAGGAACUUGACGGUACCGUAAGAAUAAGGAUCGGCUAACUCCGUGCCAGCCGCCGCAGUAACAC
rnacentral:rRNA from 1 species